rnacentral:rRNA from 1 species
AAAGCAUAUAAGCGCGAAGCCCACCCCAAGAUGAGAUUUCUCUUAAGGGUCGUUCGAGACUAGGACGUUGAUAGGCUACAGGUGUAAAGGCAGUAAUGUCAUAGCCGAGUAGUACUAAUUACCCGUGGAUUCGAACCA